rnacentral:rRNA from 1 species
GAUCAAGCGCGAGAAGGGCGUUUGGUGGAUGCCUUGGCAGUAAGAGGCGAUGAAGGACGUGAUACUCUGCGAUAAGUCAUGGGGAGCUGAGAAUAGGCUUUGAUCCAUGAAUUUCCGAAUGGGGAAACCCACCUGACAGUUUGUUAUUGUGACCCUGCAGUCUGCUAUGAGAGGCCUGUCCUCAAGUAGCGAAGCGGUAGGACAUCAAUAAUGAGCUUAAUCAGGUACUUAAGACCUGAAUACAUAGGGUUUUAAGAGCAAACCCGGGGAACUGAAACAUCUAAGUACCCGGAGGAAAGGACAUCAAUAUGAUACUCCCCUAGUAGCGGCGAGCGAACGGGGACCAGCCGAGCCUUGAGUGUGAAUAGAAUGUGUUGGGAAGCACAGCCAUAGUGGGUGAUAGCCCCGUAUAUGAAGCAUGAUAGGACGUAUUAAGUAGGGCGGGACACGUGAAAUCCUGUCUGAAGAUCGGAGGACCACCUUCGAAGGCUAAGUACUCCUUACUGACCGAUAGCGAACCAGUACCGUGAGGGAAAGGUGAAAAGCACCCCGACGAGGGGAGUGAAACAGUACCUGAAACCGAACGCCUACAAUCAGUUGGAGGCCCCUUGAGGGCUGACAGCGUACCUUUUGUAUAAUGGGUCAUCGACUUGGUCUCACGAGCAAGCUUAAGCCGUUAGGUGUAGGCGCAGCGAAAGCGAGUCUUAAUAGGGCGCAUGAGUUCGUGGGAUCAGACCCGAAACCGAGUGAUCUAGGCAUGGCCAGGUUGAAGGUGCAGUAACAUGCACUGGAGGACCGAACCCACAUCUGUUGAAAAAGAUCGGGAUGAGCUGUGCCUAGGGGUGAAAGGCCAAUCAAACUCGGAGAUAGCUGGUUCUCUGCGAAAUCUAUUUAGGUAGAGCGUCAUCCGAAUACCCCGGGGGGUAGAGCACUGGAUGGGUAAUGGGGCCCCACAGGCUUACUGAUCCUAACCAAACUCCGAAUACCCGGGAGUACUAGAUGGCAGACACACUGCGGAUGCUAACGUCCGUAGUGGAGAGGGAAACAACCCUGACCUACAGCUAAGGCCCCUAAUUCAUGGCUAAGUGGGAAAGCAGGUGGGAUGUCCAAAACAACCAGGAGGUUGGCUUAGAAGCAGCCAUCCUUUAAAGAUAGCGUAACAGCUCACUGGUCUAAUUAAGACGUCCUGCGGCGAAGAUGUAACGGGGCUCAAGCCAUGAGCCGAAGCUUAGGAUGCACAUAGUGCAUGGUAGCAGAGCGUAGUGUGACAUAGUCUCAUGUCUCCUUAGUGUCUUCGGGCACAUUGGAGACGCGAGGCUUUCGAUGAAGCGGGCGCGUGAGCGAUCCCGUGGAGAGAUCACUAGCGAGAAUGAUGACAUGAGUAGCGACAAAGAGUGUGAGAGACACUCUCGCCGAAAGUCCAAGGGUUCCUGCUUAAAGCUAAUCUGAGCAGGGUAAGCCGGCCCCUAAGGCGAGGCCGAAAGGCGUAGCCGAUGGGAACUAGGUUAAUAUUCCUAGGCCAGGAGGAUGUGACGGAUUGUGAAGGUAGUUCAUCCUUAUCGGAUUGAAUGGGCUGCUGAUCAGUCCCUGGAAAUAGCCCUCCAUGAGACCGUACCCUAAACCGACACAGGUGGACUGGUAGAGAAUACCAAGGCGCUUGAGAGAACGAUGUUGAAGGAACUCGGCAAAAUACCUCCGUAAGUUCGCGAGAAGGAGGCCCGGUUCCAAGGCAACUUGGAGCUGGGGGCACAAACCAGGGGGUGGCGACUGUUUAUUAAAAACACAGGGCUCUGCGAAGUCGCAAGACGACGUAUAGGGUCUGACGCCUGCCCGGUGCCUGAAGGUUAAAAGGAGGGGUGAGAGCUCCGAAUUGAAGCCCAGGUAAACGGCGGCCGUAACUAUAACGGUCCUAAGGUAGCGAAAUUCCUUGUCGGGUAAGUUCCGACCUGCACGAAUGGCGUAACGACUUCCCCGCUGUCUCCAACAUCGACUCAGCGAAAUUGAAUUGCCUGUCAAGAUGCAGGCUUCCCGCGGUUAGACGGAAAGACCCCGUGCACCUUUACUACAGCUUCGCACUGGUAUCAGGAUUGUGACGUGCAGGAUAGGUGGUAGGCAUCGAAGCGUGAACGCUAGUUCACGUGGAGCCUCCCUUGAGAUACCACCCUUCGCACUCUUGAUAUCUAACCGCGGUCCGUUAUCCGGAUCCGGGACCCUGCGUGGCGGGUAGUUUGACUGGGGCGGUCGCCUCCUAAAGCGUAACGGAGGCGCGCGAAGGUUGGCUCAGAGCGGUCGGAAAUCGCUCGUUGAGUGCAAUGGCAGAAGCCAGCCUGACUGCGAGACUGACAAGUCGAGCAGAGACGAAAGUCGGCCAUAGUGAUCCGGUGGUCCCAAGUGGGAGGGCCAUCGCUCAACGGAUAAAAGGUACGCCGGGGAUAACAGGCUGAUACUGCCCAAGAGUCCAUAUCGACGGCAGUGUUUGGCACCUCGAUGUCGGCUCAUCUCAUCCUGGGGCUGGAGCAGGUCCCAAGGGUACGGCUGUUCGCCGUUUAAAGAGGUACGUGAGCUGGGUUUAGAACGUCGUGAGACAGUUCGGUCCCUAUCUGCCGUGGGUGUAGGAUACUUGAGAGGAGUUGCCCCUAGUACGAGAGGACCGGGGUGAACGAUCCACUGGUGGACCAGUUGUUAUGCCAAUAGCAGUGCUGGGUAGCUAUGAUCGGACAGGAUAACCGCUGAAGGCAUCUAAGCGGGAAGCCCCCCUCAAAACAAGGUAUCCCUGAGGGCCGAGGUAGACCACCUCGUCAAUAGGCCGGAGAUGUAAGUGCAGCAAUGCAUUCAGUUGACCGGUACUAAUCGCCCGAUAGGCUUGAUCUG